CAUUUGAAAAUGUUGCCCUACAUUUGUCCUACAUUUGUCCCAGUUUGGAGGUCCUCACUUAUGGCAACCCUAUCUGCGGGUGACCCUCCCUCCUUCCGGGUUGUUUACCAGAAAACCUGCUUCUUUCCUCAGGUGAAGGCGCUCAAAGGGAUCAGGGCCAUUGUAGCGGACCUCAGCGAUAUCAAGGACCUGAAGUACUGGCUGCAGUAUCACUUGGUGACCCAGGCCAGCGUCUUGGUCAGCCAGUUCCAACCCAAGGAGCAGGGGAGCAGCGUGAAGCUCAAAAAAUACAUUGUCCCAGGGGAAUCAAUUGAUAUCUUGGCAAUCCUCCUCCAGAGGCUAGACCUAAUGCACAACAUGAAGUCCACGCUCAUCUCCAUGUGAAUGUGAACUGAAUGACCGUGGCUGCACCCAAAAAGACCUCCAUUCCCAGCCUCCGGCCGAGGCCUGAGGAGUCCCAGAAGACUUCCCUGAGGACUCCCUGCUGCUCUGGGCGAAGGCAAGGAUGCCAUCGUGCGGCCUUCCCACGCUGCUGCCACUCAGACGCUGGGUGCGGACAUUUCCCCAUUUGGGGCGGGACAAUCCCAGUUUCCCCCAGGGUUAAAAUGUCCCAUCCACAUCGAGCCGCCUGUCCCAGGUUCUAGUGGCAGUGAGUGCUAGCAGCCAAAGCCCUGUCUGGAUGGAGCUCUGAGGCUUCAACUCCCAGAGUCCAGCCGGGUGCUUUGAGCGCUGCCUGGGAUCAAAUCCUUACUCUGCCAUGGAAGCCAGAGGGAGGAAGGAAGAGAGGACUACAUCUCCCAGUAGCCCCUGCCCACCAUCCCCUUCCUGGCACUGCUGGUCAGUCAGCCAGGCUCCCCAAAGCACUUCCUUCCUCCCCUUCCUUUCCUUUCCCUCUUUCCCUCUUUCCUCCUUUCCUUUCCAUUCCCUCUUUCCUCCCUUCCUUUCC